CUACUGAGAUGUUUUCAUGGUC
rnacentral:piRNA from 1 species